AUUAGGAAUUGGCGGGGGAGCACAACAACGGGUGGAGCCUGCGGUUUAAUUGGACUCAACGCCGGACAACUCACCGGGGACGACAGCAAUAUGUAGGCCAGGCUGAAGACCUUGCCUGAAUCGCUGAGAGGAGGUGCAUGGCCGUCGCCAGUUCGUACUGUGAAGCAUCCUGUUAAGUCAGGCAACGAGCGAGACCCGUGCCCACUGUUACCAGCAUAUCCUCCGGGAUGAUGGGUACUCUGUGGGGACCGCCGGUGUUAAAUCGGAGGAAGGUGCGGGCCACGGUAGGUCAGUAUGCCCCGAAUUUCCCGGGCUACACGCGGGCUACAAUGAAUGGGACAAUGGGUCCCUCCCCUGAAAAGGGCUGGUAAUCUCACAAACCCAUCCUUAGUUCGGAUCGAGGGCUGUAACUCGCCCUCGUGAAGCUGGAAUCCGUAGUAAUCGCGUUUCAAUAUAGCGCGGUGAAUACGUCCCUGCUCCUUGUACACACCGCCCGUCAAU
rnacentral:rRNA from 1 species